AAAUAACCAAAAAGCUUUUUUUUGGUGCAUUCUCUUGAGUGACAUUUUUUAAAAUGAUACUUUAUAUUUUAGACUUAUAUUGAGGGAGUCUAGGCAACAGCUAAACUUUGAAAACAAUAUGCUUGUAUGAAAAAAUAGUCUGUAAAAAUAGUGGGUUUUUUUUAAAAAAACGUUUUAUUGAAGUGCAGACUGCAUGACAGCUCUGAAUGUUUCCCAACAGUGUAUCUGUUCUGACAUGUGUCCUAGUUUUAGACCUUUUCCAAGUUCAUGAAUGCAUUUUCUUCAGAGGGCUCUAUUAAAGCCCAGCAGUAUUUCUUUCAGGAUACUUCAUCUUGCUUGUCCUCCCAGAACUAGCUGAGAUCAAGCAUGUUUCCACACAGUUCUGGAACGUCCGAGAAUGCAGGUUUCUCACUUAAAAGCUUCUGCAGCUGUGUGUGAGCAGUAAUAAAUGGUUGACACAAGCCUCUGGGGACAGCUUUAAAUGGGUGAACUGUUCCCUGUUCCAGCCGUCUCGGGGAUUUUUUUCCCCACUGGUUGGAUGCUGUGCUAUGAGCCUGACCCAAUCCUUAGUGACAGCUUGUCGGGCUGAUUAAUGCAGACUCCAGAGAACAGCUCUUUGCUCUCUGAUUGAUUCAUUUUACCAAUAGAACUCACAUUCCUGUAGUGUGAAUAAUAAACAAGUGAUUUAAUGAGUACUCCCCAACCUAUUCCAAUGACAUAUCCUGACUGAAGCAGCACAUGCUUUUGGAAAGCUGAAAUACUCCCUGUAUGUUACAUGCUGAAGAUCCACUGAAUUAUAUACUUCUCCCAUAAAUCCAAAUUAGAAAGUUAAGGAUUAAUAUUCUACUGUGCUGUGCCAUUAGACACAUUAUCAGAAAUGUCGCUGAUGUUUAAAUUGUUACUUCCUUCUCAUUUUUCUGGUUCUUAACCAGUGAUUUUGUUUUUUUGCUAUGUGCUUCCCACCAUUAAAUAUGUUUAUCAUGAAACAAAAUUAUUUCUUUGCAACAUUCCCUCCCCCCCCUUUUUUUUUUAAUCUUGGAAGGUGACAUGCUAAACGUAGAAGAAUAAAAUUUGUUCUUCCUAAAGGCUGUCCUUAUUCCCUGCAUCCCUGAAGGUGGUGUCCCACCACAUUCUAUGGUUCUGUGUAUAACUCUUUGUAGGAACUGGCUCUCCCAGUUCCUGUAUCUUGGGAAACUCUCGGGAACACAAAGAAGCAGCAUUACAGCACUUCAGGAGGAUAGGGGAGUGGAACCACAGCAGUGGAAAGAAGGAAGAAUUUCUUGUUUGGGUCUGGAUGAUUUCUGUUUCCUUAUUAUACAAUAACUCUUACUAUUGCAAUUAGGAGAUCCUGACUCUGGAUCUACAAAGAGUGUUCUCCAGCAAACAUAUUCAAGAGAGAUGUGCAUAAAAUGAAUGUGAAAGGAGGGAAACAACGCUAGUAUAAUUUGCUUUCUUGUGGAAAUACAGACAUCAGUGGAAAGAAGCAAG